UGAGGAAUAUUGGUCAAUGGGGGCAACCCUGAACCAGCCAAGUCGCGUGAAGGAUGAAGGUCUUAUGGAUUGUAAACUUCUUUUACACGGGAAUAAAGCGGGGGACGUGUCCCUCUUUGCAUGUACCGUGUGAAUAAGGAUCGGCUAACUCCGUGCCAGCAGCCGCGGUAAUACGGAGGAUCCGAGCGUUAUCCGGAUUUAUUGGGGUUAAAGGGUGCGCAGGCGGGAUGUUAAGUCGGCGGUGAAAUUGUGCAGCUCAACUGUAAAAGUGCCUUCGAUACUGGCCUUCUUGAGUGUGGAUGAAGUAGGCGGAAUUUGUGGUGUAGCGGUGAAAUGCUUAGAUAUCACGAGGAACUCCGAUUGCGCAGGCAGCUUACUAGGCCACAACUGACGCUCAUGCACGAAGGCGUGGGGAUCAAACA
rnacentral:rRNA from 1 species